AUGUGGGAAUCGGUCUGGGAUUGGCAAGUGUCGCAGAUUCGGAGGAACUGCUUUUCGGUGGUCUAUCCUUCGAAGGAGGUGCUGAGGAUGGCCCAGAAGAGUGGCACGAUCACGCUACCUAUCAGUGAGCACAAGGCAGAAGUUGGCGAGCCGUUCAAAGAGCCGCAGGCGGUGUCCUGGCUCAGGGAAUGCUCGUGGGUUCAUGAUGCGCGUGGAGCGAGAGUCGGGUGGAACUCUGGCGCCACCGUCCUCUUCCCCUCCGCGUCCGCGCCCCCUACAGAUGACGAGGAUCCUGAGGGGGAUGAGGAAUCAGGGCCAAGCCUUAACACUGCAGACUGGGACGCGGCUGGCGCCAAAUCUAAGGUGUCCUCGACAGGUGGCACGUCGACGGGGUGGUGGUGUCAUCUGGGCCGGCGGGCCAGCAGGCGGCGGAUGUGGAGCGGGUUGCUGAGGCUGUCAACACAAGCCGGGCUCCGACUGUGGGGCCCCUGCUCCCUGCGGUGGACACGGCGCAGAUGCUUCAUCGCGAGUCGGUGCCUCUGGUGCUUGAUAUGGCUCCAACCUCCCGGAUGCUGCCUUAUCCCGGAGCAUGGUCGCGUCGAUCAGCGGGAAGAUCCCCCCGUUUCCCCCUCUCCGGGCAGGGAGCUGGAACUAGGUGGUGGUCGUGCGGUGGGCUCAGGUAUCAUGGCGGCGGACUUCCCCAUCCCAAGCGCUACUUCAACCCCAUGCUCAUCCCCUCCUGUCCGCUCUGUGACGUCGAUCACAGCUCAAUCCGGGGCUACGCCCACGGCGCAUUCCACGGCUAUUGCCCCUGUCUAG
rnacentral:rRNA from 1 species